AGUGAACGCUGGCGGUAGGCCUAACACAUGCAAGUCGAACGGCAGCACAGUAAGAGCUUGCUCUUACGGGUGGCGAGUGGCGGACGGGUGAGGAAUACAUCGGAAUCUACUUUUUCGUGGGGGAUAACGUAGGGAAACUUACGCUAAUACCGCAUACGACCUACGGGUGAAAGCAGGGGAUCUUCGGACCUUUCGCGAUUGUAUGAGCCGAUGUCGGAUUAGCUAGUUGGCGGGGUAAAGGCCCACCAAGGCGACGAUCCGUAGCUGGUCUGAGAGGAUGAUCAGCCACACUGGAACUGAGACACGGUCCAGACUCCUGCGGGAGGCAGCAGUGGGGAAUAUUGGACAAUGGGCGAAAGCCUGAUCCAGCAAUACCGCGUGGGUGAAGAAGGCCUUCGGGUUGUAAAGCCCUUUUGUUGGGAAAGAAAAGCAGCAGGUUAAUACCCCGCUGUUCUGACGGUACCCAAAGAAUAAGCACCGGCUAACUUCGUG
rnacentral:rRNA from 1 species